rnacentral:misc_RNA from 1 species
AUUUACGCCAACGUACCAGGUUAACGUAGAAAGAGCCAAAAAAUUGGGUAUUGAAUUCAUUCCUUUGGCGGAAAGCGUCAAGGAAACAGCUGAAAGCUUGAAAGAGAAGAAGUUUUACUGAAAUGCUUAGCCUUAUUGUGAAUGAAUCUGGAAAUUGUAGAGAACAUGCUUAUGUACACCUUCAUGUUUUACUAAAACCUUUCGUAUUAUGUCGUUUUGUGAUCCGCAACUUUAAUGGUGUCGUUAAG